GAUGAACGCUAGCUACAGGCUUAACACAUGCAAGUCGAGGGGAAACGAUAGAGAAAGCUUGCUUUUUCUAGGCGUCGACCGGCGCACGGGUGAGUAACGCGUAUCCAACCUGCCCAUCACUUGGGGAUAACCUUGCGAAAGUAAGACUAAUACCCAAUGACGUCUCUAGAAGACAUCUGAAAGAGAUUAAAGAUUUAUCGGUGAUGGAUGGGGAUGCGUCUGAUUAGCUUGUUGGCGGGGUAACGGCCCACCAAGGCGACGAUCAGUAGGGGUUCUGAGAGGAAGGCCCCCCACAUUGGAACUGAGACACGGUCCAAACUCCUACGGGAGGCAGCAGUGAGGAAUAUUGGUCAAUGGACGAGAGUCUGAACCAGCCAAGUAGCGUGCAGGAUGACGGCCCUAUGGGUUGUAAACUGCUUUUAUAAGGGAAUAAAGUGGGAGUCGUGACUCUUUUGCAUGUACCUUAUGAAUAAGGACCGGCUAAUUCCGUG
rnacentral:rRNA from 1 species